rnacentral:rRNA from 1 species
GAUGAACGCUGGCGGCGUGCCUAAUACAUGCAAGUCGAGCGAAUGGAUUAAGAGCUUGCUCUUAAGAAGUUAGCGGCGGACGGGUGAGUAACACGUGGGUAACCUGCCCAUAAGACUGGGAUAACUCCGGGAAACCGGGGCUAAUACCGGAUAACAUUUUGAACCGCAUGGUUCGAAAUUGAAAGGCGGCUUCGGCUGUCACUUAUGGAUGGACCCGCGUCGCAUUAGCUAGUUGGUGAGGUAACGGCUCACCAAGGCAACGAUGCGUAGCCGACCUGAGAGGGUGAUCGGCCACACUGGGACUGAGACACGGCCCAGACUCCUGCGGGAGGCAGCAGUAGGGAAUCUUCCGCAAUGGACGAAAGUCUGACGGAGCAACGCCGCGUGAGUGAUGAAGGCUUUCGGGUCGUAAAACUCUGUUGUUAGGGAAGAACAAGUGCUAGUUGAAUAAGCUGGCACCUUGACGGUACCUAACCAGAAAGCCACGGCUAACUACGUGCCAGCAGCCGCGGUAA